rnacentral:lncRNA from 1 species
GUUACCAUGUUAAGUCCUUUCUGUGGGGCAUCAGCUUUCACACUGGCUUCUUUCUGAUGAUCUGAGGUAGUGUCCAUGUUAAGUCCUUUCUGUGUGACAUCAGUUUUUGGAGUGGCUUCUUUCAGAUGAUCAGAGGUAGUGUGCAUCUUAGUUCCUUUCUGUGUGGCAUCAGUUUUUGAUUUGGCUUCUUUCUGAUGUUCUUCACUUUUUUGUGACACAGAGUUAUCUUCUGAAGCUGCACUCAUUCUCUCAGCAGUAGUAGCUUCCUGAAGUUGACCGACUUCUCUUAGCCCGCUGGCAUUGGAAGAAUGCUUCAAAUGUACAGUGUUAUUUUCCAUCUCCACAUGGGGGUUU